rnacentral:rRNA from 1 species
AUCAAAGGCCAUACCACCCUCAAUGCACCCGAUCUCGUCUGAUCUCACAAGCUAAGCAAGGUCAGGCCUGGUUAGUAUUAGAAUACUUGGAAUGAGAAGGUGGACAGGAAAGGGAAAAACUAAGUUCCUAGAGA